UUUUAUUUAUAGGUUCCUAAAUUGGUAUGGCAUAAUUUUCAAUUGCAAAACUGACAAUGGCAAUGUUGCGCCUUGCGCGUCACUUUCGAAAUGGCUGCUGAGUUUCGACGAAGACGAGCGACUAACUAACAAGUGAAUGCCAUAUGCCAAGCAAAGUUACGCCUUCUUUUCUAGACACUGUUUGUCUGUUUGUUCGAGAACUAUUUCUUCCCUGGAAUAGUGGAAUUAUUCAUCUCAAAAAUGCCUGGUGAAGUCUUAGCUUCUUCAUCACAGUCCAAUGUGCUGUGCAGUGCAAUUAGUUAAGUCAGCUGUCGAAAGGUGUUCUUCUUCCAGGCUUGCUAUCUGUACUGGUUGUAACUUUCGUCACAUACAGAAACAAUUCCAAAGCAACAUGAUGAAGAUCUUGCCUUUCUUCACGUGGUUGCUGCAGUGUCAUGAGGAUGCAUGUUUGAGAGGGUCUCUACUAUAUUGCAAGACAAAAAUGUGAUGACAACAGGAAAUCUGAAAAUGAUGUACUUGUUUUAUAAAUCGAGUAGGUUAGCAUUUUGUUAUUGAUGUCGAAGACAAGUUACAUCUUAUUUCGUUCUUAAAAAUCGAGCUUUUGUGGAAAGUUCGGGUAAAGAGUUGUACCUUUUUUGUUAUCAAACCAAACACAAAUUCCCUUAAUUAAAAAAAACCUGAAAUGACAUAU